GCCUGGCUGGCUCAGUCAGUAGAGCAUGCGACUCUUGAUCCCAAAGUUGUAAGUUCAAGCCCCAUGUUGGGUG
rnacentral:tRNA from 1 species